GUAGGUGGCAAACGUUUGUCCGGAAUUAUUGGGCGUAAAGCGCGCGCAGGCGGUUCUUUAAGUCUGAUGUGAAAGCCCACGGCUCAACCGUGGAGGGUCAUUGGAAACUGGAGAACUUGAGUACAGAAGAGGAAAGCGGAAUUCCACGUGUAGCGGUGAAAUGCGUAGAGAUGUGGAGGAACACCAGUGGCGAAGGCGGCUUUCUGGUCUGUAACUGACGCUGAGGCGCGAAAGCGUGGGGAGCAAACAGGAUUAGAUACCCUGGUAGUCCACGCCGUAAACGAUGAGUGCUAAGUGUUAGGGGGUUUCCCGCCCCCUUAGUGCUGCAGCUAACGCAUUAAGCACUCCGCCUGGGGGAGUACGGCCGCAAGGCUG
rnacentral:rRNA from 1 species